UCAAAUAAUAAUGAAUUCGGUGGAAUUGUUGCUAGACAGUUCCUUGAAGGGGAAGUUUGGUGAAAAGCCAACGCGGUCCCGCCACUGUAAAUGGGAGUUUGCUGGAUUAAAUACUGCUUAAUUGGGUGCCAGUGAAUGAUGAUCAUAAGCCAGGAUACCUGCCGUAUUCGUGCACCAAAA
rnacentral:ncRNA from 2 species